rnacentral:rRNA from 1 species
UACGGAGGGGGCUAGCGUUGUUCGGAAUUACUGGGCGUAAAGCGCGCGUAGGCGGACCUGCAAGUCGGGGGUGAAAGCCCGAGGCUCAACCUCGGAACUGCCUUCGAUACUGCGGGUCUCGAGUCCGGGAGAGGUGAGUGGAAUUCCUAGUGUAGAGGUGAAAUUCGUAGAUAUUCGCAAGAACACCAGUGGCGAAGGCGGCUCACUGGUCCGGUACUGACGCUGAGGUG